rnacentral:rRNA from 1 species
CCUACGGGAGGCAGCAGUGGGGAAUAUUGGGCAAUGGGCGAAAGCCUGACCCAGCAACGCCGCGUGAAGGAAGAAGGCUCUCGGGUUGUAAACUUCUUUUGACAGGGAAGAGCAGAAGACGGUACCUGUCGAAUAAGCCACGGCUAACUACGUGCCAGCAGCUUCGGGAAUACGUAGGUGGCAAGCGUUGUCCGGAUUUCCUGGGUGUAAAGGGCGUGUAGCCGGGCUGACAAGGCAGAUGUGAAAUCCGGGGGCUCAAUCCCCGAACGGCAGUUGAAACUGUUGGUCUUGAGUAUCGGAGAGGCAUGCGGAAUUCCUAGUGUAGCGGUGAAAUGCGUAGAUAUUAGGAGGAACACCAGUGGCGAAGGCAGCCUGCUGGACGACAACUGACGGUGAGGCACGAAAGCGUGGGGAGCAAACAGGAUUAGAUACCCCUGUAGUC